AUCCUUCCUGUGAGUCUAGAAGUCAGAGACGCUUCAUUUCACUUGAUAAUAGUGGGAGAGGAGAGGAUGGAGAGGCAAUUUAUGAAUCGUGGGGAGGCUGACUUUGAAGAUGUCCCUUUGAAGAUGUAAUGGUACAGAAUGCAUUAGUGAUGGGAGAGAGCUUCCAGUGAUAUAUAACAGUGGUAUUAUGAAACUGCAUUGCUUGCCAUGGGCUUCUGACUGCAACUAUAAAGUUCUUUAUGACCAGGCAUCCAAGUUUCUGCAGGAUUGCCUGCUUCGGGGAAAAACUGACCUGUCCAAGCUCUGUGAAUUCAAGAAAAAAUUAUUACUAACAGGCUGAGUUGUUCCCUUGGAAUGAUCAUCUCCUGAAGCUCUACUACUGAGAUAUCUCUUAUUAAGCAGGCCUGCAUACAUAUUCCUGAUGUAGUUUAGAGAUUGGCAGCAUUGUGCUGAAUGAAUACCAAUAUGAUUGUGUCUAUGUCUCUAAAAUUGCCCCGUCUGAGUAUUUUCUUUUAGAUUGCUUUAAUUAAAAUAAAUGAAUGGUCAUGCCAACUACGACAGCCAUUCCGUGAAAGCACAUACAGCUGCUAUGAAAAUUCCAAAUGUGUCUCUUGGCACAAAGGGGAUGCCCAUCUCUGGUUUAUUCUGAAUAGACUUCAGAAAUCAAUGAGUUAAUAAACUUAUGUGCUUGUUUAGAGAUUGCUGAAGGAAUAUUAACAGAUUUUACAAAACAAGUGUUUCAUUUAUUUGCAGUUUGCUUUACAGUAAGCUUACUUAUUCUAAGUACUUUUUUCGCACUUACAAACUUUCAGAAGCAUAAAAAGGCAAUCUUUCAUAAUUUCUGUCACAUGUAUGACAUGUAUACCAUGUAACUGCAAAAGCUUGAAGAUGCUGAAUAAAUAGGUGAAAUGUU